ACAUGUUAGAAAUUCUAAAAGAAAAUAAGAGAUAUACCAUUAGGUCAUAAGGCUUUGGUCUGAAAUAUUGGUUUUAACUCAAUAUGCAUUGUGAUGCUGUGGAAAGGGCAAGUAGCUGGACACAUAUUAAAGUAGUCACUUUCCAUCGAAUAUAAUCCAAUGCCCUACUCAUAUCUCUCUGCUCUAACUCUCUAAAUAAGAGUAAUAAAAAGAAAAAUAUGCUCAAUGUGAGAUGGAUGCAUAACCUAAAACCAUUUUCAUCUUAUAUUCUAGUUAUGGUACUUUUUGCUUUUCUUUUAAGGCGUUAUUGUGGG
rnacentral:lncRNA from 1 species